AUCUGUAGAAUGCAGCCAAGAAUGACUUGCCGGAGUUUUCGUGCUUGAGCUCCGGUUGGUGUAAAGAACUUCAUCCGGCAGGUUGUUCUUGGCUACAUUCAGU
rnacentral:pre_miRNA from 1 species